AAAACACUGUUUUUACUUUUUUGCCACUGAUCCAUUUGCUGGCGUUGUCUACUUUUCCCAAAUCCGAACCGAAGAAAGAGGAUGAUGACGACGACGACGACGAUGAUGAACUCUGGACUGGGCUCAGUGUCAGUCCUGGCUCUGCCAUGGCGACCUUCAUGGAGGAUUAUGUGUUCGGCUUCCAAUACGAAUACAGACCAGCUACGUGCCCAACUGGAUCAGCUUCAAACAGAGGCUGACACCGCCAGAGCCAAAGCGAACAGUGCCAGAGGGAGGCUUAUGCGUUUGUCAGAGACAGCUGAGAAUCUUAAACGACAAGCAGCCAUUAGUGUCCGGUUAGGGAAGGAAGAUGAGGCAAGGGAUUUGCUAUUUCAGAAGAAGAAGGUCAUGGAAGCUUUACAGAAGUCAAAGGAUCGCAUUGAAUUUCUUGAUCAACUUUCUAUGAAGCUUAAUGAGGCGAUUUCUGUAAAAGAGAGGCAGCUAAUUGGAAAUGUGGCGUUGGAUCUUGAAGUUGUUCAGGAGGACUCUAGUCCUGUUCGGAUUGUAUCUCCAACCAGAGAAGCUACAGAAGAUUCUGUUGCAGGUAAAGAAUCUGAAUCCGUUGAGAAGAGUUUUAGUGACAAUCAAGAGCUGCUGUCUGGCAUAGACAGUCAAGCUAGUUUAUCUGUUGUUCAAGAAAAGGAGGAUCUUGAAGGAUCUCUGCCAGGGGUCAUCUCAGUCGGUGAUGAAAUUUCAAGCCGCUUGAAAGGAAUAACAUCUUUUGGGAGAUUCUUAGAGCAUCUGGAUGAACAGCUUAAUAAAAUUGAAGAAGAAAUUGCCACUGUUUUAAGGUUCUCAACCUUAGUACUAGACAAUAAGGAGAAAACAAAAAACUUUAAGGUGCAACAAGCACAAAAACUUCUUGAGAGCAUCCAUGAAAUCAGGCAAAGAGUUGCUGAUAUAAGGCUGGCUGAGGCAAAGACUAAAUGAAGCUAUACUUCUUCAGUUUUCAGUUUUUCUAUUAGUAUUUGCAAGCUUGUUUGGUGUAGAAAUGGCAAUUAGCAUUUGCAAUGAGUGGCUAAAUUGGGCAAAGAAAGAAAGUCUCGCGAUGCCUCUUGUCGAUUCUUAAUUCGGCUAAGAAGAGAAAAGACUGACCAACUGCUAAUGUGCUGAUGGAGAGCCAAACAAUGGCAAAAAUUCUGCCUUGAAAUGUUGUAAAUGAGAAGUCUCCAUAACCAACUGUAGUAACAGAAGUAACAGACACAUAAAAGCUAUCAAUCCAACUGAGUUUCUCUAUGUAAUGAAGCCCAAAUAUCCCAAUAGCUAUACACAAGGCAACAGCUAACAGAGCAAAGCAAACCCUUGUUCUAAUCCUCAUUCUCCUCUUUUCAAUAUCCAUAAUGUAUGUCUUGAUGAGUUUCUUGAACCAUUUCUCUUUGUUGGGUGCCUUUUCAGCCAAUUUCUUGAAUUGGGUUUUUUCCAUGAACCCCAAGAGAAGAGCAUGUUGGGAAUCGAAAAUGUGGGAGACCCAAGAGUUGAAUGCAUAGUCUACAAACCCGAAACCAAUCAAGAUGAAGAAACAGGUGAAGAGCUUUGUCAAUACAGUGUUCGGGACAAUGUCACCAUAGCCAAUUGUGCAAAGAGUAACAACAAUGUAGUACAUUGCAUCCACUGGUUUGAUAGUGAAAUGUCCCUUGAAACCUGUGGUGGUUAAGAAAACAGUGGCCAUUCCAAUGAUGGCCAUGAGAAGAAGAACAAGAGUAGCACAAUGGUAUGUGCAAAAGUUUGAGUUAGGGAAUGAAUUGUGGAUUUGGGUGGCUGCGUGGUGUCGGUGUAGUUCCCCGAAAUUUCCAAUGAAAAUCGAUGGAGCAGAGGGCAACCGACGGCUUGUGAGACUUGGUCUUUUGUUGAAGUUGGAAAGCUCAAAAAGAGGAGCUAUUUCGGGAUCGUUUAGGAAGCUCCGAUCGUGUAAGGGAUCCUCAAGUGGUGGUUGUUUUGUGGUGAUCUCUCUUGGUUGUUGGUUUGUUUCAUAUAGAAGAGACUCAUCCAUGGAUAUCAAAGUCUUCAAGGAGAAGUUUUGGACCUCAAAAUGUGAGUUUUUUUUCAUAUAUAUCUUUAAAGUGAAAUGAGAUUGGAGAAAAGAAAGAAUUGUAAACUACUAGUCAAAUAUUUGUUGGAUCACUUUGAAUAGUUUUUCAGUAUGGCCAAAUGGUGGUAGUUGGAAAUUUAG